GGGACCCCGCACAAGCGGUGGAUCAUGUUGUUUAAUUCGACGAUACGCGAAGAACCUUACCAGGUCUUGACAUCCCUGCAAAGCUAUGGAGACAUAGUGGAGGUUAUCAGGGUGACAGGUGGUGCAUGGUUGUCGUCAGCUCGUGUCGUGAGAUGUUGGGUUAAGUCCCGCAACGAGCGCAACCCUCGACCUUAGUUGCCAGCAUUCAGUUGGGCACUCUAAGGUGACUGCCGGCUAAAAGUCGGAGGAAGUGGGGAUGACGUCAAAUCAUCAUGCCCCUUAUGACCUGGGCUACACACGUGCUACAAUGGGCGGUACAAAGGGUCGCGAACCCGCGAGGGGGAGCCAAUCCCAAAAAGCCGCUCUCAGUUCGGAUUGCAGGCUGCAACUCGCCUGCAUGAAGCCGGAAUCGCUAGUAAUCGCGGAUCAGCAUGCCGCGGUGAAUACGUUCCCGGGCCUU
rnacentral:rRNA from 1 species